GUGGGGAAUAUUGGACAAUGGGCGAAAGCCUGAUCCAGCCAUGCCGCGUGUGUGAAGAAGGUCUUCGGAUUGUAAAGCACUUUAAGUUGGGAGGAAGGGCAGUAAGGUAAUACCUUGCUGUUUUGACGUUACCGACAGAAUAAGCAACGGCUAACUUCGAGCCAGCAGCCGCGGUAAUACGAAGGGUGCAAGCGUUAAUCGGAAUUACUGGGCGUAAAGCGCGCGUAGGUGGUUUUGUAAGUUGGAGGUGAAAUCCCCGGGCUCGACCUGGGAACUGCCUCCAAAACUGCAUGACUAGAGUACGGUAGAGGGUAGUGGAAUUUCUGGUGUAGCGGUGAAAUGCGUAGAUAUAGGAAGUAACACCAGUGGCGAAGGCGACUACCUGGACUGAUACUGACACUGAGGUGCGAAAGCGUGGGGAGCAAACAGGAUUAGAAACCCGAGUAGUCC
rnacentral:rRNA from 1 species